AUCUUUACCUGACAGGGGAGAUGCCAGGCAAAGGAUUGUCUACUGCAGUCUACAUGUGUUGUGAUUUCUCCAAAUUUGUGAAACUUGAUUGUAUAAUUUUUGAUAGUGAGGGACUGUAUUCAUGCUCUCCCCUGG
rnacentral:snRNA from 1 species